GAUGAAGAGCGCAGCGAAAUGCGAUAAGUAGUGUGAAUUGCAGAAUUCAGUGAAUCAUCGAAUCUUUGAACGCACAUUGCGCCCCUUGGUAUUCCAUGGGGCAUGCCUGUUCGAGCGUCAUUUGUACCUUCAAGCUUUGCUUGGUGUUGGGUGUUUGUCUCGCCUCUGCGUGUAGACUCGCCUUAAAACAAUUGGCAGCCGGCGUAUUGAUUUCGGAGCGCAGUACAUCUCGCGCUUUGCACUCAUAACGACGACGUCCAAAAGUACAUUUUUACACUCUUGACCUCGGAUCAGGGAGGGAUACCCGCUGAACUUAAGCAUAUCAAUAAGCGGAGGA
rnacentral:misc_RNA from 1 species